rnacentral:rRNA from 1 species
GGAUUGAACGCUGGCGGCAGGCCUAACACAUGCAAGUCGAGCGGCAGCACGGGUACUUGUACCUGGUGGCGAGCGGCGGACGGGUGAGUAAUGCCUAGGAAUCUGCCUGAUAGUGGGGGAUAACGUUCGGAAACGGACGCUAAUACCGCAUACGUCCGUACGGAGAAGGUGGGGAUCGUUCGGACCUCACGCUAUCAGAUGACGCCGUAGGUCGGAUUAGCUUAGGUUGGUAAGGGUAAACGGCCUACCGAAGGCUACGAUACCGUAACUGGUCUGAGAGGAUGAUCAGUCACACGUAGGAACUGAACGACGACGGUCCAGACCUCCGUACGGGAGGCAG